rnacentral:rRNA from 1 species
GUGGCUGGGGGUGAAAGGCCAAUCAAACCGGGAGAUAGCUGGUUCUCCCCGAAAGCUAUUUAGGUAGCGCCUCGUGAACUCAUCUUCGGGGGUAGAGCACUGUUUCGGCUAGGGGGUCAUCCCGACUUACCAACCCGAUGCAAACUGCGAAUACCGAAGAAUGUUAUCACGGGAGACACACGGCGGGUGCUAACGUCCGUCGUGAAGAGGGAAACAACCCAGACCGCCAGCUAAGGUCCCAAAGUCACAGUUAAGUGGGAAACGAUGUGGGAAGGCUCAGACAGCCAGGAUGUUGGCUUAGAAGCAGCCAUCAUUUAAAGAAAGCGUAAUAGCUCACUGGUCGAGUCGGCCUGCGCGGAAGAUGUAACGGGGCUAAACUGUGCACCGAAGCUGCGGCAGCGACGCUUAUGCGUUGUUGGGUAGGGGAGCGUUCUGUAAGCCUGCGAAGGUGUCCUGUGAGGGAUGCUGGAGGUAUCAGAAGUGCGAAUGCUGACAUAAGUAACGAUAAUGCGGGUGAAAAGCCCGCUCGCCGGAAGACCAAGGGUUCCUGUCCAACGUUAAUCGGGGCAGGGUGAGUCGACCCCUAAGGCGAGGCCGAAAGGCGUAGUCGAUGGGAAACGGGUUAAUAUUCCCGUACUUGGUGUUACUGCGAAGGGGGGACGGAGAAGGCUAUGUUGGCCGGGCGACGGUUGUCCCGGUUUAAGCGUGUAGGCUGGUUUUCCAGGCAAAUCCGGAAAAUCAAG